GUUUUCAAAAAUGAAUUUAAACGAGACCAAGCACAGAUCGCGCAUUACUGACGAAAACCUACACGCGGUUUUGCGGAUUUCCUCAGCACAAGAACUAAGACAUCCGGCCAGAAAACAUUGAACACAACACAAUGAGGAUGUGUGAGUUGGUAACAGGCUGAAGAGGAUCAGCUUUGUGUUCAAGGACAGGCAGCAUCACCUCAUUGUUUGGUUCUUACGUGAAAUACAUGUUCGUUGUGUAAUAAAUAACGAAAAAGUUUUGUGAAUGAAGUUGAGAGUUAAUA